rnacentral:lncRNA from 1 species
AUGAUCCUUCAGGACAGGACGCACGGGGCAAACGCCUGGGCACGGAACCGGGGACGGGGCAGCGCCCUCAGGCAGGGUGUCCACGGGGUGCCCCAGGGCUGCCGGAACAAAGACCCCAAUACUGCGGGGCUUAAAACAACAGAAACGUGUUGUCCUCCAUUCUGGAGGCCAGGAGUCUGACUUCAGGGUGUGGGCAGGGCCGCCUUCCCUGCGGCUUCCGGGAGAAGCUCCUUCCUGCCUCCUCUUCCGGCUUCCUGCCUCUUCCGGCUUCCUGCCUCUUCCGGCUUCCUGCCUCUUCCGGCUUCCUGCCUCUUCCGGCUUCCCGCCCCGGUGUCCCCAGGUGUCCUCAGCAGCCGCUGCAUCGCUCCGGUCUCUGCAUCUGUCUGCACAAGGCCAUCUUUCCGGGCACCUGUUUCCUUUCUGUGUCCCCUCCGCUUCCUAUAUGGACACGAGUCAUAGGACUGAGGGCCUACCCUGCUCCUGUGUGACGUCAUCUAAACUUAAUCACUCAUAUCUGCCAAGAAUCUAUUUCCAGCUACAGUCACAGUCUGAGGUUCUGGAUGAACAUUUUGGAAACUAUUCAACCCACUGCAUUACCCAGCUGUGGAGAGAGAGAUAUAUAUAUAUAUAUUUAUUUUUUAGAGACAGGGUCUCGCGGUGUUGCCCAGGCUGGAGGGCAGUGGCUCUUCACAGACAGUCACCGUGUGCUACAGCUUCCAACUCCUGGGCUCGAACCAUCCUCCUGUGUCAGCCCCAUGAGUACUGGGGAGCACAGGUGUGUGGCACUGUGUCCGGCUGUGGUGACGGAUGGAGCCCCCGACACGGGUUUGUAACUCAAGGCACUGACAUCCAACCUGAAGGGCAAGAGCAGGGCAGCGAAAGUGCUGCAGACGGAGGCCUCUUCAAGCCUGGACACCUGCGGGAGAGAAAGCCCCAGGAGCCAGGAUCACCGAACACCAAAAGACGUCCCGCUCUGGAAAGAGGCUGCCGCCUCAACAAACAGGAGGAGUCACAGCUGAGAAACCAGAGGCCUCCAUACAGUGAGUUGGCGCCAGGCGCAGGCCCGUCAUUGUGUCAUCAUCACCACCCUCCACGCAAAGAACUUCUCAUCACACAAAAGCGAAAUUCUGCUGGGAAGGACCUUGUAUGUCACUGCCACGCUUGAUGAGAGAGAACUUCUUAUUUCUGUUUUAAUCCUCGCCUCCUGUUCAUACGGCAGCCUGUGCUUUGGAAUUGCUCCAACCACAGCAUCUGCAUGGCAGUCUCCCUACCUGCUCAGCUGGGAAGUGCAGGCCCCCCAGGGGUCCAGCCCAGGAGGUGGGGGCUGCUGGGCUCCACCCAAGGAGAGGAGCCUGUGCCUGGGCCCAUCCCCCAGCCAUGCCAGCCACACCCAGCUGGGACCUGCGGGACCCUGGGCACAGGCAGGACUCACCCCUGGACCUGUGGCACGGGCAGAGGGGCCAGGCAGCAGAGGCCACCUAAGUCCAAUUCCCCAGAAUAGUCACUGCCACGAAGGGAGGCAGAGGUGGAAAUCCCUCCUGGACUUGGGAGCUUUGUGAAAUCGACGCUUAGUCAAGGUGAUUCUCCCAGGAGCCUGUGUAGCUACCGGCAGAUGCCAGGCACUCUCCUGCUGGCUAUGCACAGAGCUUUCCCCACUAUUUAUCCAGUCAGCUUCUUACAGUCGUCACUUUCUCCAAAUGUGAAAAACCACAUGCGUUUCAUAUGUCUCUUCCUCAGAAAUACCUGACUGCGAGGUGGAGACUCUUUCCCUCUCAGUAUGUUCAUUCUCUUGACAAUGCCUGCUCCUUGCCUUCGUGUUCAAGCCGACAAUGUUAAACACACACAUUGAACACAUUUAUUGACAUUUCUUCUUCUUCUUUUUUUUUUUUUUUGAAAUGGAGUCUCGCUCUGUCGCCCAGGCUGGAGGGCAGUGGCGCGAUAUCAGCUCACUGCAAGCUCUGCCUCCCAGGUUCACGUCAUUCUCCUGCCUCAGCCUCCUGAGUAGCUGGGACUACAGGUGCCCGCCACCGUGCCUGGCUAAUUUUUUGUAUUUUUAGUAGAGACGGGGUUUCACCCUGUUAGCGAGGAUGGUCUCGAUCUCCUGACCUCGUGAUCUGCCCACCUUGGCCUCCCAAAGUGCUGGGAUUACAGGCGUGAGCCACCGCGCCCGGCCCAAUAUUUAUUGACAUUUCAUAGAAGAGCCCUCAGCCACAACGCUGAUUCUGUGGGUUAAAUUAGUUAAUACCCCUCCAAGUGGCAGUGAUGUUCAGAUGUGUCGCUCAUGUUCCUGUCUCAUGAAAUGCGGGUAAAAGUGAUGCCUGCAGCUGCCGUUUGCAUGUGUUUGGAAAUUAAGUGUGGGGUUACUGAUGGCCCAUCGAAGAGAAGGAAUUACUUAUUCCCUGUAAUAUUGAGACCUUUCCAGUUUAUCCUGUAAGAAGGCUCUGGAGGAUGUCACCGUGGAGAGAGCUGAGACUGCUGUUGACCUCAUGGGUCUUCAUGGGGAGACGUGUUCAGCCGAUCAACUUGUUAAAAGCAUGAGGCCCUGGCUUUGAGCAAGUGGAGGGUUUAGAGACGGACCAGAGUGGACUCACUGUCUGUUCUCCCCCAGGCAGUUUUGCUGCUUACAAGUAUUUGCCUUGAGAUGCCUUUAAUCAGCUGCUUCCCUGCGGUUCCUGCGGGAUCAGCCAGCUGUGAGCAUCAUCACAUGUGCCAGGCUGGCUGGGUCAUGAUGCCAUCUUCUCCAGUGGCCCCAGACUCAGACGUGUGGUCCGGGGAAGAGACACCAGGAUAGGCAGCGGGGCAGCAAUGGCUGUUCUGCUUUUGAGGCCAGGGGAUGCAGCUCUGGGGCCCACUGCAGCCACUCGGCUGUGGGGGACAGAAAGGUCUCCCAGUUUCCACAGCCUCUGUCCUGUCACCUUGCAGCUUUGCCCCCCAAAAGACACGGAGGCUCUUUCGUCACUCCUCGAAUCUGGGCUGGGCCUGAGGCUUACUUUGGCCAAUAGACUGUGGGGGAAAGAAGAAUGUGCUGUCUUCUGGGGCCUCAAGGGGCCUUGCAAGUCUCUGCUCUCUCAGACCCCUGCUGGACCCGGGGGCUGGCCUGCUGGAGAAUGAGAGAGGAGAGGGGAGUGCCCAUUUGUUCCAGUCAAGGCCAUCCUAGGCCAGCUGACACCCAGCCGAUCCCCAGACACGGGAGAGAGCCCAGAUAACCAUGGCAGAACCGCCUUGGGACCCACAACGGACCUCAGACACAUGAGUGGACCCAGCUGAGACCACACCUGCCCAGCUGUCCACAAAUGUGUGAGCAGUACUACCUGUUUAUCACUUCAGGCCACUUACUGUGGGUUGCUUGUUAUGCAGCAGUGGCUGACGGAUGCAACUGACCACUGUGAGUGGCUGCACAGAUAGGAGUCCAGGCCUAGCUCAUAGCAAGGUAUUUCUGCAGUUUGCCAGGAAGAAGAAAGGAAGAAAAAGGAGAAGAAAGGGAAGUGGAGGGGAGGUGCAGGGCUGGGCUUCUGGUUCAAGCCCACAGGUGCUGUCCUCACAGGUGUUCUGUGGCUCCCGAGAGGGCGCAGUGGCUCUGCUGGGCUAGGAACUGAGCGCGAACUUUCCUGGUGCCUGAAUAUUAGCAACAUUCCUUCCCAGCACUGACUGCAGAGGGUAAGAGCCGGAAACUACAAUUUGGAAAUUUAAUUAUAUCUCCGGAAGAAAUGUAUGCUUCUUAGAAUGAUUUUAUUCAAAAAGCCUUCAAAAAAUAGAACCUACUUUUCCCCUAUAUUGUGAUUAAUUCAAACCAAAUAAAAGGAACCGUUGAACUCUU